CCUCCCUCAGUUUCUUUUAGCAGUAGUCCUAAACCAAUGGACUUAAUUAUGUUAAAAAUUUUCAAUUUUUUAAAAAAAAUUUUAUUUUUAUUCUAAAUUUUAAUUUAUUAUAAUUAAAUUAUUAAUUUUUUAAAAUAUUAUAAUUGAUGGGUGUCACGCCCACGAUCCGAGAUCAUGAGUCAAGCAUCACGGCGACUACCACAUACUUAUGAAGAAUUCUCUCC
rnacentral:lncRNA from 1 species